rnacentral:misc_RNA from 1 species
UUAAGUUCAGCGGGUAUCCCUACCUGAUCCGAGGUCAAACCUUGCUACAGAGGGUUUUACGGCAGGCGCUGCCGAGCCCCUAGAGCGUGCGUGAAAUACUGCGCUCAGGGCCUACGGCGGCUCCGCCACUGCGAUUCGGGGCCUGCGGCGUACCGGGGAGCCCCAACAACAAGCUACGCUUGAGGUUUGAAAUGACGCUC